rnacentral:lncRNA from 1 species
GAUCAUCAUGGGGAAAUUGUAUUGGAACUUUGGCUUGAUCUAUUGCCUUCAAGAGUUCUGUUGAUGAUGUUUUCGGUAAGGUUUUUUACGUCAGAACUCUCUUCCGCAUAAACUAAGUAUAGAAAAACCAAACAUUAAAAACCAUUCAAAUUAUACAAACAAGAUUGACGGUUGGAUCAUUGAAAUUAGUUUCAUAGAAUUCGUAUCUCAUCCAAACCAUAGAUACUUAGACUUUAUUUAUACUUUCAUUAAGUAUAACAUAAGAUUUUGUGGUAUCCACUUGUGUAAAUAUUUUAAAUUGACGAUCGAAUUCAUUCAUUAUAUUCGUAUAGGGUCAACAAGUGUAGUUGUAAAAAAUCAUCAAAAUCGGAGUUAAAAAAACCGUUAAAUCGUGAUUUUUUGUUUUAUAACCGUCGAAAAGUUUUGUCUCAUUACUUGAUCUCUGAAUGUUUGUUUUUUGUGAUUUUUGGCGUAUGCGAUCUCGAAGCAUAUACAAACAAGUUUGACGGUUGGAUCGUUGAAAUUAGUUUCAUAGAAUUCGUAUCCCAUCAAAACGAUAGAUUCACUAACACUUAGAGUUUAUUUAUACUUUCAUUAAGUAAAACAUAAGAUUUUGUGGUAUCCACUUGUGUAAAUAUUUUAAAUUGACGAUCGAAUUCAUUCAUUGUAUUCGUAUAGGGUCAACAAGUGUAGUUGUAAAAAAUUAUCAAAAUCGAAGUUAAAAUAACCGUUAAAUCGUGAUUUUUUGUUUUAUAACCGUCGCAAAGUUUUGUCUCAUUACUUGAUCUCUGAAUGUUUGUUUUUUGUGAUUUUUGGCGUAUGCGAUCUCAAAGCAUAUACAAACAAGUUUGACGGUUUGAUCGUUAAAAUUAGUUUCAUAGAAUUUGUAUCCCAUCAAAACGAUAGAUUCACUAACACUUAGAGUUUAUUUAUACUUUCAUUAAGUAUAAAAUAAGAUUUUGUGGUAUCCACUUGUGUAAAUAUUUUAAAUUGACGAUCGAAUUCAUUCAUUGUAUUCGUAUAGGGUCAACAAGUUUAGUUGUAAAAAAUUAUCAAAAUCGGAGUUAAAAUAACCGUUAAAUCGUGAUUUUUUGUUUUAUAACCGUUAAAAAAUUUUGUCUCAUUACUUGAUCUCUGAAUGUUUGUUUUUUGUGAUUUUUGGCAUAUGCGAUCUCGAAACAUAUACAAACAAGAUUGACGGUUAGAUCAUUGAAAUUAGUUUUAUAGAAUUCGUAUCCCAUCCAAAGGAUAGAUACUUAGAGUUUAUUUAUACUUUCAUUAAGUAUAACAUAAGAUUUUGUGGUAUUCACUUGUGUAAAUAUUUUAAAUUGACGAUCGAAUUCAUUCAUUGUAUUCGUAUAGGGUCAACAAGUGUAGUUGUAAAAAAUCAUCAAAAUCGAAGUUAAAAUAACCGUUAAAUCGUGAUUUUUUGUUUUACAACCGUCGAAACGUUUUGUCUCAUUACUUGAUCUCUGAAUGUUUAUUUUUUGUGAUUUUUUGCGUAUACGAUCUCGAAGCAUAUACAAACAAGUUUGACGGUUGGAUCGUUGAAAUUAGUUUCAUAGAAUUUGUAUCCCAUCAAAACGAUAGAUUCACUAACACUUAGAAUUUAUUUAUACUUUCAUUAAGUAUAACAUAAGAUUUUGUGGUAUCCACUUGUGUAAAUAUUUUAAAUUGACGAUCGAAUGUAUUCAUUGUAUUCGUAUAAGGUCAACAAGUGUACUUGUAAAAAAUCAUCAAAAUCGAAGUUAAAAUAACCGUUAAAUCGUGAUUUUUUGUUUUAUAACCGUCGAAAAGUUUUGUCUCAUUACUUGAUCUCUGAAUGUUUAUUUUUUUGUGAUUUUUGGCAUAUGCGAUCUCGAAGCAUAUACAAACAAGAUUGACGGUUGGAUCGUUGAAAUUAGUUUCAUAGAAUUCGUAUCUCAUCAAAACGAUAGAUUCACUAACAUUUAGAGUUUAUUUAUACUUUCAUUAAGUAUAACAUAAGAUUUUGUGGUAUACACUUGUGUAAAUAUUUUAAAUUGAUGAUCGAAUUCAUUCAUUGUAUUCGUAUAGGGUCAACAAGUGUAGUUGUAAAAAAUCAUCAAAAUCGGAGUUAAAAUAACCGUUAAAUCGUGAUUUUUUGUUUUAUAACCGUCGAAAUUUUUUGUCUCAUUACUUGAUCUCUGAAUGUUUUUUUUUUGUGAUUUUUGGCGUAUGCGAUCUCGAAGCAUAUACAAACAAGAUUGACGGUUGGAUUGUUGAAAUUAGUUUCAUAGAAUUCGUAUCCCAUCAAAACGAUAGAUUCACUAACACUUAGAGUUUAUUUAUACUUUCAUUAAGUAUAACAUAAGAUUGUGUGGUAUCCACUUGUGUAAAUAUUUUAAAUUGACGAUCGA